rnacentral:misc_RNA from 1 species
AAAGUGCGAUAACUUAGGUGAACUGCAACUGGCGCGAUUCCUUAAAAUUUUGAACGCAUACCGUGCCCCGACCCAACAGUCGGGGCGUGUUUGUUUGAGCGUCUAAUACAAAAUCACACCGUGCGAGCGAUCUUAGGCUUUGCCUCUCGGCAUCGUCUUGAACUGCCGCCGCCGGUGAUCGUGGACCUUGCGAUUCGUUUCGCAUCGUCUCAAAUAAAAGGGCAACAACGUUGCGGGGUAAAGCUCGUUUCGGUCCGUAUGUCAAGGAUGUAUUUCCGACUUUGCGGCACGAACCUCUGCGAUACUCUCGGCGGGACCCCAUUCGAAUCACACUCUAGACCUCAAAUCAAGCACGAUUACCCGCUGAAUUUAA